AAGUCUGAAGAGGAGUCAAAUGCUUCUUUUCUUAAGGACAAGCUGUGAUGGGGAGGGAAAUAAUAGUACCGAAGUUCCUGAUGUCACACUGCCGAGAAAAGCUUCUAGUGAGAAAACAGCGGCCCGUACCGCAAACCGACACAGGUAGUCGAGGAGAGAAUCCUAAGGUGAGCGAGAGAACUCUCGUUAAGGAACUCGGCAAAAUGACCCCGUAACUUCGGGAGAAGGGGUGCUGAUCAUACGAUCAGCCGCAGUGAAUAGGCCCAAGCGACUGUUUAUCAAAAACACAGGUCUCUGCAAAAUCGUAAGAUGAAGUAUAGGGGCUGACGCCUGCCCGGUGCUGGAAGGUUAAGAGGAGUGCUUAGCGCAAGCGAAGGUACGAAUUGAAGCCCCAGUAAACGGCGGCCGUAACUAUAACGGUCCUAAGGUAGCGAAAUUCCUUGUCGGGUAAGUUCCGACCCGCACGAAAGGCGUAACGAUUUGGGCACUGUCUCAACGAGAGACUCGGUGAAAUUUUAGUACCUGUGAAGAUGCAGGUUACCCGCGACAGGACGGAAAGACCCCAUGGAGCUUUACUGUAGUUUGAUAUUGAGUGUCUGUACCGCAUGUACAGGAUAGGUAGGAGCCGUAGAAAUCGGAACGCUAGUUUCGAUGGAGGCGCUGGUGGGAUACUACCCCUGCGUUAUG
rnacentral:rRNA from 1 species